AGUGAACGCUGGCGGUAGGCCUAACACAUGCAAGUCGAACGGCAGCACAGGAGAGCUUGCUCUCUGGGUGGCGAGUGGCGGACGGGUGAGGAAUACAUCGGAAUCUACUCUGUCGUGGGGGAUAACGUAGGGAAACUUACGCUAAUACCGCAUACGACCUACGGGUGAAAGCAGGGGACCUUCGGGCCUUGCGCGAUUGAAUGAGCCGAUGUCGGAUUAGCUAGUUGGCGGGGUAAAGGCCCACCAAGGCGACGAUCCGUAGCUGGUCUGCGAGGAUGAUCAGCCACGCUGGAACUGAGACACGGGCCAGACUCCUACGGGAGGCAGCAGUGGGGAAUAUUGGACAAUGGGCGCAAGCCUGAUCCAGCCAUACCGCGUGGGUGAAGAAGGCCUUCGGGUUGUAAAGCCCUUUUGUUGGGAAAGAAAUCCAGCUGGCUAAUACCCGGUUGGGAUGACGGUACCCAAAGAAUAAGCACCGGCUAACUUCGUGCCAGCCGCCGCCGUAA
rnacentral:rRNA from 1 species